GAUGAACGCUGCCAGAAUGCUUAACACAUGCAAGUCAACUUGAACUUCGGUUUGGGUGGCGGACGGGUGAGUAACGCGUAACGAACUUGCCUAACAGCUAGGGACAACAUUUGGAAACGAAUGCUAAUACCUGAUAUUAUGAUUAUAUGGCAUCGUAUAAUUAUGAAAGCUAUAUGCGCUGUGAGAGAGCUUUGCGUCCCAUUAGCUAGUUGGAGAGGUAACAGCUCACCAAGGCGAUAAUGGGUAGCCGGCCUGAGAGGGUGAUCGGCCACAAGGGGACUGAGACACGGCCCUUACUCCUACGGGAGGCAGCAGUGGGGAAUAUUGGACAAGGGACCGAGAGUCUGAUCCAGCAAUUCUGUGUGCACGAUGAAGUUUUUCGGAAUGUAAAGUGCUUUCAGUUGGGAAGAAAAAAAUGACGGUACCAACAGAAGAAGUGACGGCUAAAUACGUG
rnacentral:rRNA from 1 species